CACGUAGGGGGCAAGCGUUGUCCGGAUUCAUUGGGCGUAAAGAGCUCGUAGGCGGCUGUUCAAGUCGAACGUGAAAACUCGGAGCUCAACUCCGAGCCUGCGUUCGAUACUGGACGGCUAGAGUCUGGUAGGGGGAUCUGGAAUUCCUGGUGUAGCGGUGGAAUGCGCAGAUAUCAGGAGGAACACCGGUGGCGAAGGCGGGAUCCUGGGCCAGUACUGAUGCUGAGGAGCGAAAGCGUGGGGAGCAAACAGG
rnacentral:rRNA from 1 species